GAUGAACGCUGGCGGCGUGCUUAACACAUGCAAGUCGAACGGAAAGGCCCUGCUCUUGUGGGGUGCUCGAGUGGCGAACGGGUGAGUAACACGUGAGUAACCUGCCCUUGACUUUGGGAUAACUUCAGGAAACUGGGGCUAAUACCGGAUAGGAGCUCCUGCUGCAUGGUGGGGGUUGGAAAGUUUCGGCGGUUGGGGAUGGACUCGCGGCUUAUCAGCUUGUUGGUGGGGUAGUGGCUUACCAAGGCUUUGACGGGUAGCCGGCCUGAGAGGGUGACCGGCCACAUUGGGACUGAGAUACGGCCCAGACUCCUACGGGAGGCAGCAGUGGGGAAUAUUGCGCAAUGGGCGGAAGCCUGAUGCAGCAACGCCGCGUGCGGGAUGACGGCCUUAGGGUUGUAAACCGCUUUCGCCUGGGACGAAGCGUGAGUGACGGUAAUGGGUAAAGAAGCACCGGCUAACUACGUG
rnacentral:rRNA from 1 species